CCCUGUGGCAUGCAAAAGUUCCUAGGCCAGAGAUCAAACGCACACCACAGCAAUGAUCUGAGCUGCUGCAGUGACAAUGCUGGAUCUUUAACCUGCUGUGCCACAAGGGAACUCCUUUGUUAUUUUCUUUUUCUUUGGCCUUCAGCACAUUUGAGAAUGGGAGCUCCUUGAGAAUGGGGCCUUGCCUUGUUUUUCAUCAUAAACAUUUGGUACAUGAAAGGCCUUCAUUAGUAAUAGUACUAGAUGUGAUUAUUGCUCUUGAAAGCUGAUAGAGAUAUCAGUACACAAUGUUUGAAUCUGUAACCAAUUUGCCAUUCAUUUUUAUUUCCUGGAAAACAUUCAUUUUUAUUUCCUGGGUUUUGCUUCCUUCAGAUAGUUCCAUUCCACGUGCUUAUAAUCUUUUUCAACUUUUUUUCCAUUUCAGUUUCCUUAAUUCUCAAGUGAAGAUAACCCACCCCCAACAAAGCUGUCUUCAAAGCUCAAUGAGAUAAUGUGUUUGAAAGUGACCUUAAGCUCUCAAGAGCCAUUCAGAUGUUUUUAGUGACCUAAAGUUGUCUAAGGGAUGAAACAAAUGUCAUGUCUCUCAGACCAAAAUACUUUAUUAGAGAAAAACAAAAAGUUAAUUUUUUCUAGUUGACUGUACGGAGAGAAGAGGACAAGAUAGCCCAGAAAACAUGGUCCCUUAAAUAUCAUUAUUAACAUUAUGAAACAGUGUUUUAGGUUUUGUUUGUUUGUUUGUUUGUUUUUUAGGGCAAUGGCACAUGGAAAUUCAUAGGCUAGGGGCCGGUGGCUAUGGCUCCGAUUCGACCCCUAGCCUGGGAAACCUCCACAUGCCUCAGGGGCGGCCCAAGAAAGCAAAAAAGACAAAAACGAAAACAAAAACAAAACAAAACUGCUUCCCUGUUCCUUUUCCAGAGUUAUUGUGCUAACUAAGGAGUGGGUCUUUUUCCACUCCUCUCCCCCGACCUCCAUAUGCAGUCCUCAUAAACAUCCCUCAGACACCCCAGUGCACAUAGAGUUUAAGAAAAAGCAAUAUGCAUCAAUGCAGAUGCUCUUGAGACAAAUCUCCUCGGCUUCCUUAAAACCAGGUGACUGUUCCCAAGGUCUUCCUAGACACAAAUUCUGGAGCUUUCCCUAAAUCUCUUUCUCUCUUGGAAGCUGAAAAACAGCCAAAAGGGGGUGUAUUUCAUGAGUCAGCAUGAAUGUCUCCCUCUGGAUCCUGAAAACUGCUGAAGUCAUGUGGGUUUUUCUGAACCAUUUUCCUGGUGCAUUGCCAGAGCAACCUAAUCUAAUGAGCAUUCCGGAGGGGGGCGAAGCCAGCUGAGGUAUACAUCAGGUGCACGAGUCACAGAUGCAGACCUCUGAAAGACUGGCUUUCAAGUCUGACUUGCAGAUUGGAUGUGCCCAUCACUUUGGAUUAGCCUCCGGUUUGCAUUCAGCUGUUGUCAUUUCCAUCUUAGUAUCACAUGCAUUCUGAUGGGAGGCCCUGAAUAAAAUUUCAGUCCUAGAAAAUCCUGUCUGUUAGCAUCAUGCUAAAAGCAACUGUGGUAGACUGAAAUGAACUCGACACCAAAUGUGUUGCCUUAGCAAUAGAACCUGUCUUUUGCUUUUGCAAAAUUGUUUAUUUGAAACACUUGAGUGGUUUGUACUACUAAUCAGAAAAUUGAACUUGUUCUUGAACGCACAGAAUAGCAAUAGUGAUAUGGUUAUUGUAAAAGAGGACAUUUCUCCUAAGUUUCUCAUUCAAACCUCAUAGUCACGCCCACCAGCAAUAUUAUUGCAAGUUCAUAGGUGAGAAACUGAAGUUUGGUAAAUCAGGUCUACUUUGAUUGACUUAGCCAAAGUUUCAGGGCUAGUGAGCAGUAGGUCAAGGAUUCAAACUCCCAUCUUUCUAACUCCAAAGCUACAACCAUUUUACUGUAUUGCAGACAUGUGUGGGAUGCAGUGAUUAACAUGCUUACAAUCGAUUUAACACUUAUAACCACUCAAGAGCAAGGUUGUGUUGGUGAACAAGGCAAAUGCAGUCUUUAGCCUCAGCUGCCUUAAUGUCUAACUGAAACAAAUACAAGCUAAGCAAGUAAUGGAAGUGUCAUGUAAAUGCUGCAAGAGAAAGGAGAAGGACUCUGGAUCAUACAGCCGAUGAAUUGAACAUGUUCUGUGAGGGAAUAUGUGUAGGAAAGUUGAACAGGAGGAUUUAGCCAGAUAAUGAUGGGCAAAGUAGACAUGAGGUUAGGAAGGGGAAACAUCUGAGCAAAAGGAUUGACAGAGAAUCAGGGCUGAGAAAACACACCACUGCUCAAGAAAAUGAAAGAUGGCCUGAAUGGAGAAACAUUUACAGGAUGGAGAGUGAGGAAGAUGUUGAUGGACUAUACAGUUUUAGAGGGAAGGAGAGGUCAUGUAGUAGUCUUAUGAUUAUUCUGACAUUUACAAUAACUCUGCAAGGUAGAUGUCAUCACACUAUUCUUUACCAAUAAAAUGCUGGGGGCUGCUAAAACUUGGGUAGCCAAAACGCUAUGGGCUGGGCCCUACACCCUCCAUCAUGAAGAUUCCCUCAACUGUUGACUUACCUUGUCACUUAGCUACACACUGGACAGGGAGUCAGUUCUUUUUCUGUUGGGCUUUACUGUAAAUGUGAAAGAUGACCCAAACCACUUGUCUAGUCAAUUCAUUUUGAGACGACAUGUCGGAUCAUGCAGGCUUAGUUAUGGCAUGCAUGAAAAUUGAAAAUGUACAUGAUGUUUGUGAAACUUUGCAACCAAGGCCAUCAUUAACAUUUAAUGCUUUACCCACAUUUAUCCAGCUUUGUAGAUUUGACAUUUUAUAUUUUGCUGACCUUUUUGGGUUGUUAAAAGGAAAUAUCUUUUGUAUUCCUUUCCCUCUGUUACAAGAAAAGAAAGCUAACUGUAUUUAUAGAAAAAAAAAAAUGAAGGGAAAGAAAAGAUAAAGAACACAUUUCUUACUACCUUUUUUUGUUCUUUUAAAGUAGAAUUAUCCUGGGCUUUCAACCAGAGACUUUGGGCUGCUCUGUUAUUGAUCUGUCUGUUCUAUAUAGAGAUCAGACCAUAUGUAUUUCUCCAAAUUGGCAAGGAUUCAUUUAUAGUCUUUGCUUUUCAUAUUUUUAUUUGUUGCUUACUGCUAAAGUCUCACACAGAUAAUUCAAUAGAAUAAAUCUCCAUAUUUCAUCCAGUAGAUUUAAAAAAAAUAGUUUUUCUAAACCCAUAUUUAACAUAAUGCAAUCAUCUUAUGAUCUCUCUAGAUAGCUUUUACUUCUUUGGUAAAGUGGUUUGUCCCUAAUCAUGCAUUUUAAAGUAACCCUAUGAAUUUGUAAGAUUUUGCAACAAAUUACAAUGUGUGUGUGUGUUCAUGUGUAUGUGUGUGGGGGUGUGGAAAGGCAGUUUCUCCGUGUUACCAAGAAAUUCUAAGACACCACCUGAGUGUCCUGCUGUUCAACUCAAUUCUGACACUAUCUACCUGGAGAUGUCAUCAGAUCCCACAGGUAAACGGCUCAGUCCUGUGAGAAUAACCAACCCCCGCCCCCAACCCUAACUUCAAAGCUCAGGUUGUCACCCAUCCAUGCUUCUGACCAGUUGGCUUUAGACUGAGGUUCCAAAGCCCCCUCUCUUGGGUUUCAUUAAUCUGCUAGAGCUGCACAGAGAACUCUGGGAAACAUUUUACAUACUAGAUUACAGAUUUAUUAUAAAAGGAUAUAUAACUCAGAAUCAGCCAGAUGGAAGAAAUAUACAGGGGGAGAUAAAGGAAAGGGCAUAGAACUUCCAUGCUCCCCUGAGUGUCACUCUACCUUAAUCACCCUAUGUUCACCAAACAGGUCUCCAAACUCUAUACUUUUGGGCUUUUACAGAGGCUUCAUUAUAUAGGCGUGAUUGAUGAAAUUAUUGGCCACUUGUAGCUGAACUCAUUCUCCAGCUCUUCUCCCCUCCUGGGUGAAACUAAAAUUUCAAACCCUCUAAUCACUGAUUGCUCUUCAUCCCUAAAUUACCUUGAUGCUUUCCAAAAGUUACCUCAUUAACCUAGCACAUGACAUAUUUUCUUCUUCCUCCACUUGAGAAAUUUCUAGAGUUUUAGAAGCUCUGCGCCAGAAAAAGUAACCAAGACGAAAUAUACUUUUCUUGUUAUAAAUCAUAAUAUCACAAUUGCUCUUUUAAUUUUCCUUCUUAUCAUUUUGGACUUUAACCUUUUAUUUGCACUUUAUAUUUUUCUAUCAAAAAUAUCUACCUUCACCAAAAAGUAAAAUUUAUUUCUCUCUUUUUUUUUGUUUGUUUUUUUUUGUUUGUUUGUUUGUUUGUUUGUUUUGCUUUUUAGAGCCCCAACCAUGGCAUAUGGAGGUUCCCAGGCUAGGGGUCGAAUCAGAGCUAUAGCUGCAGCCCUAUGCCCUUCACCACAGCCACAGCAAUGUGUGUUCUGAGCUGCGUCUGCGACCUACACCACAGUUCAUGGCAACAGUGGAUCCUUAACUCAUUGAGCAAGCCCAGGGAUUGAACUAGUGUCCUCAUGGAUACUAGUCAGAUUUGUUUCCACUGAGUCAGAUGGGAACUCCUGAAUAUUUUUGUGCCUUAUAUUCUACUUCCAGUUUCCUUUCUUUGGAUUACAACUAACAGUGUGUGCUUCCUCAGAGGUAACUCACUAUUGGGAUUUUAGGUAUAGCUUUUAGUUUUGUUAAAUCAUUUUUUGAGGUAAAAAGUUAUUUUAGCAAUAUGAUGGUUUAAGCAGUUUUUUAUCACCUGUUCUUCUGUAUAAUACUGUAUAGUGUAUCUUUUAUAUAUGAAAGGAUGUAUAUGCAGAGUGAAGAGUUUAUGGAGAACUUGUUGAAAAGCUGAGAAUCUGAAAAUAGGAAUCUGUGAAAUACCUUAGUCCAGAGAGAGCAAAGAUAUCUCACUUGCUAUUCUUAUUAAUGAUCAGUGUCUUCCUAGAACACUAGCUAAGACUUUCUCACUAUGUAUUUAUGUAUUUGCCUACUCUGAAGGAGAAUUGUGAUCCAUUAGGGAUGUGUAUCUUGAGCAUGAAAUAGAAAAAGGUGAGCCAUAUGUUUUUUAAUCUUGCCUUAGCUGUGUGAAGUUGGUCUAAAUCAGGGACCAGCAAGCUGUUCCUGUGAAGGAACAGACAGUAAAUUGAGGAAUGGCAGGCCACACAGUCACCUUUGCCACUGUGAUGCUAAUGCAUUCUCUUUCCAAUAAAAUAUUACUUCCCCAAACUUGUAGCAUCCCAGUUUUGUCCCGUAGAGUUUUCUGACCUCUGGUCUAAAUAGUAUAGCACAUGGUUUUGUUUGAAUGAAAUUUGUAUCUUCAUUUUUAAGAACAUGAAACUGUUCAAAAGUCCAGAUAUUUGGCGGUAAUCUUGUAUGCCUGUUCAUGACCUGGAAAGAAGAGGGUGCAUCUUCAGAUAGGUGAACUGAGGCUGUGUGAGUACAUGUUAUGGUCCACAUUCACCUGUCAUCUCCAUUAUCUCCACUGGUUUUUCUCGUUAUUAUAAUUGUUUU
rnacentral:lncRNA from 1 species